GACGAACGCUGGCGGCGUGCUUAACACAUGCAAGUCGCACGGUAAGGCCCUUCGGGGUACACGAGUGGCGAACGGGUGAGUAACACGUGGGUAAUCUGCCCUGCACUUCGGGAUAAGCCUGGGAAACUGGGUCUAAUACCGGAUAGGACCACUGCCUGCAUGGGUGGUGGUGGAAAGCUUUUGCGGUGUGGGAUGGGCCUGCGGCCUAUCAGCUGGUCGGUGGGGUGAUGGCCUACCAAGGCGACGACGGGUAGCCGGCCUGAGAGGGUGACCGGCCACGCUGGGACUGAGAUACGGCCCAGACUCCUACGGGAGGCAUCAGUGGGGAAUAUUGCACAAUGGGCGCAAGCCUGUUGCAGCGACGCCGCGUGAGGGAUGACGGCCUUCGGGUUGUAAACCUCUUUCAGCACCGACGAAGCGCAAGUGACGGUAGGUGCAGAAGAAGGACCGGCCAACUACGUGCCAGCCGCCGCCGUAA
rnacentral:rRNA from 1 species